rnacentral:rRNA from 1 species
GUAGGUGGCAAGCGUUGUCCGGAAUUAUUGGGCGUAAAGCGCGCGCAGGCGGUCCUUUAAGUCUGAUGUGAAAGCCCACGGCUCAACCGUGGAGGGUCAUUGGAAACUGGGGGACUUGAGUACAGAAGAGGAAAGCGGAAUUCCAAGUGUAGCGGUGAAAUGCGUAGAGAUUUGGAGGAACACCAGUGGCGAAGGCGGCUUUCUGGUCUGUAACUGACGCUGAGGCGCGAAAGCGUGGGGAGCAAACAGGGGUCAGAUACCAUGGUAGUCCACGCCGUAAACGAUGAGUGCUAAGUGUUAGGGGGUUUCCCGCCCCUUAGUGCUGCAGCUAACGCAUUAAGCACUCCGCCUGGGGAGUACGGCCGCAAGGCUG